GUGGAGCAAUCCAUGAGUACAGUGGCGCACGGGUGAGUAACACGUGAAUCAUCUACCUCCGAGUGGGGAAUAACCUAGAGAAAUCUGGGCUAAUACCGCAUAACACUUACGAGUCAAAGCAGCAAUGCGCUUGGAGAGGAGUUCGCGGCAGAUUAGUUAGUUGGCGGGGUAAUGGCCCACCAAGACGAUGAUCUGUAUCCGGCCUGAGAGGGCGCACGGACACACUGGAACUGAAACACGGUCCAGACUCCUACGGGAGGCAGCAGUGGGGAAUUUUGCGCAAUGGGGGAAACCCUGACGCAGCAACGCCGCGUGGAGGAUGAAAUCCCUUGGGAUGUAAACUCCUUUCGAUUGGGAAGAUUAUGACGGUACCAAUAGAAGAAGCCCCGGCUAACUUCGUGCCAGCAGCCGCGGUAAUACGAGGGGGGCAAGCGUUGUUCGGAAUUAUUGGGCGUAAAGGGCGCGUAGGCGGUUUGACAAGUCUGAUGUGAAAUCUAUGGGCUCAACCCAUAGCCUGCAUUAGAAACUGUCGGGCUUGAGUAUGGGAGAGGUGAGUGGAAUUUCCGGUGUAGCGGUGAAAUGCGUAGAUAUCGGAAGGAACACCUGUGGCGAAAGCGGCUCACUGGACCAUAACUGACGCUGAGGCGCGAAAGCUAGGGGAGCAAACAGGAUUAGAUACCCUGGUAGUCCUAGCCCUAAACGAUGAUUGCUUGGUGUGACAGGUACCCAAUCCUGUCGUGCCGAAGCUAACGCGAUAAGCAAUCCGCCUGGGGAGUACGGUCGCAAGGCUGAAACUC
rnacentral:rRNA from 1 species